rnacentral:rRNA from 1 species
GACGAACGCUGGCGGCGUGCUUAACACAUGCAAGUCGAACGGAAAGGCCCUGCUUUUGUGGGGUGCUCGAGUGGCGAACGGGUGAGUAACACGUGAGUAACCUGCCCUUGACUUUGGGAUAACUUCAGGAAACUGGGGCUAAUACCGGAUAGGAGCUCCUGCUGCAUGGUGGGGGUUGGAAAGUUUCGGCGGUUGGGGAUGGACUCGCGGCCUAUCAGCUUGUUGGUGGGGUAGUGGCUUACCAAGGCUUUGACGGGUAGCCGGCCUGAGAGGGUGACCGGCCACAUUGGGACUGAGAUACGGCCCAGACUCCUACGGGAGGCAGCAGUGGGGAAUAUUGCACAAUGGGCGGAAGCCUGAUGCAGCAACGCCGCGUGCGGGAUGACGGCCUUCGGGUCGUAAACCGCUUUCGCCUGUGACGAAGCGUGAGUGACGGUAAUGGGUAAAGAAGCACCGGCUAACUACGUG